UACAGAGGUCUCAAGCGUUUGUUCGGAUUCAUUGGGCGUAAAGGGUGCGUAGGUGGCGCCGUAAGUCGGGGUGUGAAAUUUCGGAGCUUAACUCCGAAACUGCAUUCGAUACUGCGGUGCUUGAGGACUGGAGAGGAGACUGGAAUUCAUGGUGUAGCAGUGAAAUGCGUAGAGAUCAUGAGGAAGACCAGUGGCGAAGGCGGGGUCUCUGGACAGUUCCUGACACUGAGGCACGAAGGCCAGGGGGAGCAAAACGGGG
rnacentral:rRNA from 1 species